UACGUAGGGUGCAAGCGUUGUCCGGAAUUAUUGGGCGUAAAGAGCUCGUAGGCGGUUUGUUGCGUCGGCUGUGAAAUCCCGAGGCUCAACCUCGGGUCUGCAGUCGAUACGAGCAAACUAGAGUGUUGCAGGGGAGACUGGAAUUCCUGGUGUAGCGGUGAAAUGCGCAGAUAUCGGGAGGAACACCGGUGGCGAAGGCGGGUCUCUGGACAGUUCCUGACACUGAGGCACGAAGGCCAGGGGAGCAAACGGG
rnacentral:rRNA from 1 species